AGCACUGCUUCCGGUCGGUGGCGCUUCGCUCUGGCCCGAGCCAGCAUGAUCCGCUGGGCCCCCAGCGCAUCUCCUGGAAGAGCCCAAUCAUCCUGGACGAGCUCUUCGGUAGCCUCAGACCGUCCUUGAAGAGGAUGACUGAGACAUUAUGGGCCACGCGCUGUGUGUCUGCUCUCGGGGAACUGUCAUCAUUGACAAUAAGCGCUACCUCUUCAUCCAGAAACUGGGGGAGGGCGGGUUCAGCUAUGUGGACCUAGUGGAAGGGUUACAUGAUGGACACUUCUACGCCCUGAAGCGAAUCCUGUGUCACGAGCAGCAGGACCGGGAGGAGGCCCAGCGAGAAGCCGACAUGCAUCGCCUCUUCAAUCAUCCCAACAUCCUUCGCCUGGUGGCUUACUGUCUGAGGGAACGGGGUGCUAAGCAUGAGGCCUGGCUGCUGCUACCAUUCUUCAAGGUCAGAAAGACUCCUGGUUAUGGAGGGGGUUGCAACAGAGCCACCUACUCAAGGGCUGUGUGAGCAGUCCAGCAUGUUAGGAAGCAGGGAC
rnacentral:sRNA from 1 species